GACGAACCGUGCGACCGUUAUUCGGAAUCACUGGGCUUAAAGGGAGCGUAGGCGGGCUAUCAAGUCUGGGGUGAAAUCCCGCGGCUCAACCGUGGAACUGCCUCAGAUACUGACGGCCUCGAGGGAGAUAGGGGCAUGCGGAACUGUAGGUGGAGCGGUGAAAUGCGUUGAUAUCUACAGGAACUCCGGUGGCGAAAGCGGCGUGCUGGAUCUCUUCUGACGCUGAGGCUCGAAAGCUAGGGGAGCAAACGGG
rnacentral:rRNA from 1 species